UUUAAGGUCUAAUCUGCCCAAUGAGGAAUUAAAUGGCCGCGGUAUUUUGACCGUGCAAAGGUAGCAUAAUAAUUAGUUUUUUAAUUGAAAGCUGGAAUGAAUGAUUGGACGAGAAAAUAGCUGUCUCAAAUUAAGUUAAUUAGAAUUUUAUUUUUAAGUAAAAAAGCUUAAAUUUUUUUAAAAGACGAGAAGACCCUAUAGAGUUUUAUAAUUUUAUUUAUAGAUAAAUUUUAUAGAAUUAUAAUUUUAUUAUAUAUAAAAUUAUUUUGUUGGGGUGAUAGAAAAAUUAAAUUAACUUUUUUUAUAUUUUAACAUUAAUUUAUGGUUUAAUGAUCCAUUAUUUAUGAUUAUAAGAUUAAAUUACCUUAGGGAUAACAGCGUAAUUUUUUUUUAGAGUUCUUAUCGAAAAAAAAGAUUGCGACCUCGAUGUUGGAUUAAAAUAUACAUUUGGUGUAGGGGCUAAAUGGUUAGGUCUGUUCGACCUUUAAAAUUUUACA
rnacentral:rRNA from 1 species